AACACAAACAUUUGCAGAAUGAUGCUCUAUCACUGUGUGUCCAAGCCCCUACUGGCCUCAAGUGGUAAGAACUACCCAACUGCUGCUCAUCCUCAUUCUAAAAUGAUGAUCCUGGCUGUUGCCUAAUAAUUCAGUCUUUCCAGAUCCUAUCACAACUCCUGUGAGGCAAGCAGGACAGAGGUUAUCUCCAUUUUACAGGCAAGGAAACUGAGUCUUAACUGAGGGGUUUCAGAAAAGUGGCAGAGCUGGGACUUGAACCCAGGACUCAUGUCCCAAGUCCCAUACCCUUUCCAUAGCAUCAUGGUAGUAGGAAGCUGGGGGCUGUGCAUGGCAAAGUGAGCACUUAGGUCUUUAUGUUGCUGAUGGACUAGGUCAUUUGCCUUUUUCCAUCAGUAUCUGUUGCUUUGCCAGUAUUGUUUUUUGUGAACUGUCUGUCCAUCUGCAUUAUCAGAUUAUUUUUCAUAAGUAAUUGAAAUGGGACAUAGUAUAGUGUAGAGGAAUCAAAAGCGCAGACUUCUGUGUCAGACUUCUGGGUUCAAGUCCCAGCUCUACUACUCACUACCCAUGUGACCUUGGGCAAAUUAUUAUAUAUUAUAAAUACAGCACAUGGUAUUAUACUUUUAUAUCUUUAAAAUGGUGAUAUUACCUACCUCCUAGGGAUAUGGUAAGGAUUAAAUGAAAUAAUUUAUCUAAAAUGAAUAUAAAAUGCUUGGCACAACUUUGCCUAGUUCUAAGAGGGUGGAGAGUGGGAUGGGGUUGUUGAAUAGGGUCUAAAUUUUAAAAAGAUAUGUAAAAGCACAUUUUAAACUGAAAAGUGCUUGGAAAAUUUACUGUCUUUUUGAAAAACUAUGCCAUGCCAUCUUUCUCACUCUUAUAACCAUCUUCAUUGUAACAUUUGUGAAGCACUUUAUAGUUCAGAAAGCAUUUUUCCCUUAGAUCCUCCUGACAGCUCCCUGUGGUGUGAAAAGGAGCUAUCAUCUACACUUGCUGCAGGUGAGAUGACUGUCCCGGCAAUGGCCCAAGGCCCAUCCUCUCUCAAUGUGACUGUUUAUCCAUGUUACUCCAAGAGAAUCUAACAGUUAAGGGGAGAAAAAGCUGCACUGCUUGCUUCCAGAGCUAACUGUGUCCUCCCUGCUGUCCUCCCUGCUCUGGGCCACAGCGAACACUGGACAGUGAUAUUAAAACCUAGAGCAUGAGGAAGCCAGUGAGGAGAAGCUGGUGAGAGGCUCUGCCCUCAGAUGAGAGGAACUGGAAUUCACACAUGCUCCAUCUGCCUCUGCAAACUUCGGAUGACUCAGUGUCUACCCAGCGCCUGGUCAUCGGCAUUCCUGCCAAGUGGAUCUCAGGACAAAGAAAGGACAUGACUGCCUGAAGAGGGCCCAGACAUGCAGUGGGGCAGGUGCUGGCAUCUGAGAAAGUCCUAGGAGAGAACCUCCUCCAGUGUGUGAAGAGCUUCCCAAGCACCAGGUCCACUGACUGUGGCGUCAAAGACAGUGAAAAGCUGGCCUUGGGGUGAUGCCAUCCAGGAAGGCAUGCCAGAUCAGAUGCCCAGCAACUAUCAUCUUCUCUGCUUGGGCCCUACUGCUGUGGUUCAAGAAGGAACUACCUGAGCAACUGACACUUCUGCCAGCCACCAGUCCCUGUCACUGUGCAUCUUUGCCAAGCUAAUGUGCUCCCUGGAGGAUGGGACCAGCACAGAGUCAGGUAGGGCCUGGGGCUGGGUGUGUGACCUGUGUGUAGUGAUGGAGACUAAUUCAAAGCAGGGUGGGAGUGAGACAGAAGUGUGGUACAAAUAGCAUGGAGAAUGGGCUCAAGGUGCAGGAAGGGGCAAGGAUGAAAGCUGAGUUACAGGCCAGCUCUGCCACUGACAAGCUGUGAUUUCCCUCACCCCAAAAUGACAGUAAUGACACUUCACCUCCCUGAAGGCAGGAGCCAGGUUAAAGGGGCAUGUUGGAGUGAUCUUAAAUGACAGCUGUGACUGUGACAGGAACCCCCUGUGUUUAUGAUUUGAGAUUUUAUGUAACUGCACUUGAAAUAUUCAUGUGUGUGGAUUUUGUAUAUGCAUGGGUAGUUGCAUGUUGUCUCCAGUGCAUGUACAUAAUCUGUGUCAUGUAUUACAUGUGUUCUAUAUGGGGGCAAGAACAGGUUACACGUUAUAUGUGAUAUACUAAUGUAUGAGUUACAUAUUGUACAGUUUGGGUGUUACAGUUUUUGGGUUUAUGGGCUACAUGUCAGUAUUAUGGCUGCUGUAUUGUUAUAAUUUAUCUGUUGUAUAUUGUAUUUAACUUGCAUAUGAACUCCAGACUCAUAUAUCCAGCUGCCUUCUCAAUAUCUCUACUUGGAUACCUAACCAGUUUUCUUAAACAUAACAUGUCCAAAACAGCCUAAGAUUCCUCCAAACCUGCUUCCCUCACCAUCUUUCCCAAGCCCAUACGUAGCAAUCUUAUUUUUUCAGUUGCUGUAACUUUUUUUUCCACAUUCCACAUUCAAUUCAUAAGCAAAUCCUGUUGGCUGGCCUUUGCACUAUAUCUGCAGUCUGUCCACUUUUCAUUAUUCCCACAGUAAUAAUGUGGGAAUAAGGGUUCAGCCACCAUCACCUCGCUUCUGGAUUAUUGCAAUGACCUCUUAAGUGGUUUCCCUGCCUUCUCCCUUGUCCUCUACAGUCUGUUCUCAAUACUGCAGUCAGAAUAAAAUGUCACACCAUGUCCCUUCCCUACUCAGAGCCCUCAAUGGUUUCCCCCCAGUUAGAGUGAAAUCCAGAGCUGGCUCUUACAAUGGUCUAGAAGGCCCUUUGGGCUGCCCCAAGCCACCUCUCUGGCUUCAUCUCUUCCUAGUUUCCUUGCUCCAACUGUACCAGCUUCCUUGCUAUUCCUUGAACAUACUAGGCAUGCUCCUGCAUUAGGGCUUUUGCGGUUUCUGUCUCUUCAGCCUGAAAUGCUUGUUCCUAUAGAUAAUUGCAUGGUAGCUUACUGUCUCACCUCCCUCACUCCCUUUUUAUUUAUUAUUAUUAUUAUUUUUUUUUUUAGAAAAGGUCUCACUCUGUCACCCAGGCUGGAG
rnacentral:lncRNA from 1 species